rnacentral:lncRNA from 1 species
AUGCUGUGGACGCGCAUGUGUACACACACACACACACACACACACACACACAGCGCUUACCGAUGCCCAGCUACACAGCUACACAGACGCCUGGAGACGCCGCUCCCCAGCUUCACCCCUUCUGCUCCUCCAGCUCGUAGAGAAAAUGAAGACCAGAAGGAGUUGUCUGUUCCAAGUGAACCAAGUGUCUACCAAGGUCACGGGGAAGCUCUCUCCGGAGUGGGUCAGCCAGACCAAAAUUGUGAGCAGAGGUGUUGCCUCCCCGCUGUGAUGGAAGAUGAGCUGCACUGGGAGCCAGAAAACCACAGUGUGACUGAGUAAGUCACUUACCCUCCCUA